UACGGAGGGUGCAAACGUUGCUCGGAAUCAUUGGGCGUAAAGCGCACGUAGGCGGCCUGAUAAGUCGGGUGUGAAAGCCCUGGGCUCAACCCAGGAAGUGCACUCGAAACUGUCAGGCUUGAAUAUGGAAGAGGGUCGCGGAAUUCCCGGUGUAGAGGUGAAAUUCGUAGAUAUCGGGAGGAACACCAGUGGCGAAGGCGGCGAUCUGGGAAGAUACUGACGCUGAGGUGCGAAAGCGUGGGGAGCAAACAGG
rnacentral:rRNA from 1 species